GUGAGGAAUAUUGGACAAUGGGCGCAAGCCUGAUCCAGCCAUGCCGCGUGCAGGAAGACGCAUCUAUGGUGUGUAAACUGCUUUUGUACGGAACGAAACGGUCCUGGCUAAUACCCGGGGCUAAUGACGGUACCGUAAGAAUAAGCACCGGCUAACUACGUGCCAGCAGCCGCGGUAAUACGUAGGGUGCGAGCGUUAAUCGGAAUUACUGGGCGUAAAGCGUGCGCAGGCGGUGCUGUAAGACAGGCGUGAAAUCCCCGGGCUCAACCUGGGAAUUGCGCUUGUGACUGCAGUGCUGGAGUGCGGCAGAGGGGGAUGGAAUUCCGCGUGUAGCAGUGAAAUGCGUAGAUAUGCGGAGGAACACCGAUGGCGAAGGCAAUCCCCUGGGCCUGCACUGACGCUCAUGCACGAAAGCGUGGGGAGCAAACAGGAUUAGAAACCCCAGUAGUCC
rnacentral:rRNA from 1 species